rnacentral:lncRNA from 1 species
UCAACUUGGGUAUUUUUUUUACAAUUAAAAUGAGUAUUUUUAGAUUUUUUAAUUUGCUUGAUUCUUAAAAUGUCUAGGGUGCAUUCCAUUAUGCAGGUUCCACUGAUUGUUAAAAAAAUCUGGUACCCAUUGACCAUUGUCUCAUCAAUGACAGGAAACCAGUUAUAUACCAAUUGUAGUAGUCUGAAUUGGGCUAGUGUGAUAUGAUACUUUUACCUCCAAUGAAACGUUUCUACCAGUCAUUAUUUCUUUUUAAAAUAAUGGUGAAUGGAGAACACAUUUGCACUCAUUAUGUAUUUUGUCUAAUGAAUAUGUAUUGUUAUGGUGUUAAUUUUUGUACUUUCUGAAAGUUAAAAUUCUUUCCAUAAGUUUAUAUAGAGGUUAUGGUUUUGAAAAGAAAACACAUAUUUAUUUAUUUAAUUAUUGCAC